rnacentral:lncRNA from 1 species
UACAAUAGUUGGUUUGUUAGAUAACCAAAGCGAGCAAGAUCAGCGGUGCAACAUAAGUCCAACCAAACACUCACAAAGAACCUAUACAGUUCUGCUAAAGCUUGUUCACAUGCCAUGUCAUAUGAACCUGCUAUGAUCAUAUUGUUUAGAAGAUGGAAUCACAGGAAACAUUUGCAUGUAUGAUGACAACCUAGUAACCAACCUUGUCAAAGGAAACAUUUGCAUGUAUGAUGACAACCUAGUAACCAACCUUGACAAAGCAGGUAGAUAGCAAGCAACAGUUUGCCCCUUUUAGCCUUGAACGCAAGGACACAUAUCUGACGUUCUCCAAUCCAUGAUGUCUUCACAAAGUCUGACUAAUUAGUUGUUAUCCCUUCAUAGGUUGGACAUGCUCCUUGGCGCACCCAC